UACGGGGGGGGCAAGCGUUGUUCGGAAUUACUGGGCGUAAAGGGCUCGUAGGCGGCCAACUAAGUCGGAUGUGAAAUCCCCAGGCUCAACCUGGGAACUGCAUCCGAUACUGGAUGGCUUGAAUCCGGGAGAGGGAUGCAGAAUUCCAGGUGUAGCGGUGAAAUGCGUAGAUAUCUGGAGGAACACCGGCGGCGAAGGCGGCUGCCUGGACCAGUCCUGACGCUGAGGCGCGAAAGCGUGGGUAGCAAACGGG
rnacentral:rRNA from 1 species